rnacentral:rRNA from 1 species
UACGUAGGGGGGCAACGUUGUCCGGAAUCAUUGGGCGUAAAAGCGCGUGUAGGCGGCUGAGUAAGUCUGCUCUGAAAAGCCCCGGGGGCUCAACCCCCGGGGAGGCGGGUGGAUACUGCUCAGCUCGAGUCCGGAAGAGGAGUGUGGAAUUCCUGGUGUAGCGGUGAAAUGCGCAGAUAUCAGGAGGAACACCAAUGGCGAAGGCAGCACUCUGGGACGGUACUGACGCUGAGACGCGAAAGCGUGGGAGCAAACAGG